GAAGGCUGUGCCAUCGCUCCAUGUCCACUGGGCGUCCUCUUCUUCCCUGUGCAGCCCGAUCCAACAGUUUGCCGGGCCCUGGAAGCGCAUCAUGAAAUCCUUUAAAGGAAGAGAGUGUUGAAUGUCAGGAGGUUUUAGCAUCUGUCCCACCCACAUCUCAGGCUCCAGCAGGCUGCAAGGUGCUGCGUUCUGCUGCAUGGAAGAAGCUUGUUUGGGCUUCCAUGGCACAAGAGCUGCCCCCGGAGGUGCACAUCUCAGGACAUCCCCCAGAUGGAUGCGGGAGGGGUGGGGGGCAGUAAUGUGCUGCUGUCCCUCCCCAGCCUGGUGCCUUCCCCAGAGCUUUGGGCUCAUGUCCCCAUCUCACCAUCUCCUCCGCACUGCCUAUGGUGGCCAGGGAAGCUCCGUGGGCAUUGCAGUGCUCCCUGCUGCUGUUCCAAUCAUUCUCCCCCUUCAAAAAAUAACAGCAUUUCCCCUGGAAUCCGACCCAAGCGUUGGGGCAGACGUGGGCAAAGCCUGGGAAAGGUGGGAUGGGGGCCCGCCAACACACUGAAAAUGAGGAAUUGAACAAAUGUGGGGCAAGGAGCAGGACAUCUGCAUUUCUCUCACCUCCCUCCGACCGCGGUGGGAGAUGAGGCCGCAGCACGUCACAGUGCAGCCCGGGGGCGGUUAGAAAAGUUGAGCAGAGCGUGGUGUAGGGCACCACGUGGCUGCCCCAUAGCACGUGGGAGCAGGGAUGUGCUUGGGGAGCGCAUCCAUGUGCUGGAAACCCC
rnacentral:lncRNA from 1 species